rnacentral:lncRNA from 1 species
AUGUCAACAAUUUUUUGGAGAGAGAAGAGGUACUCCCUUAUAGGGACUCGUAAAGACAUAGAGCAUCUAGAGAUUUACUGCCUCCAUUACGCUGCUGGCUCUCGCAGCACUUGUUAUGUUUUUAUCAGUUUCUCUCCAGAAGUAAGAAAUUCGUAAUUCAGAGUGGGAAAGAAAGACACAGAAUCUCAAGGCAGUUAUAUACGCCAAGAUACAAAUAAAAGAUCUGUUAAAGCAGGUAAGAAAUCUGUU